rnacentral:rRNA from 1 species
UCUAGAUAGAAAAUAGGUGCCCGUACCGCAAACCGACACAGGUAGUCAAGAUGAGAAUUCUAAGGUGAGCGAGCGAACUCUCGUUAAGGAACUCGGCAAAAUGACCCCGUAACUUCGGGAGAAGGGGUGCUCUUUAGGGUUAACGCCCAGAAGAGCCGCAGUGAAUAGGCCCAAGCGACUGUUUAUCAAAAACACAGGUCUCUGCUAAACCGUAAGGUGAUGUAUAGGGGCUGACGCCUGCCCGGUGCUGGAAGGUUAAGAGGAGUGGUUAGCUUCUGCGAAGCUACGAAUCGAAGCCCCAGUAAACGGCGGCCGUAACUAUAACGGUCCUAAGGUAGCGAAAUUCCUUGUCGGGUAAGUUCCGACCCGCACGAAAGGCGUAACGAUUUGGGCACUGUCUCAACGAGAGACUCGGUGAAAUCAUAGUACCUGUGAAGAUGCAGGUUACCCGCGACAGGACGGAAAGACCCCGUGGAGCUUUACUGUAGCCUGAUAUUGAAAUUCGGCACAGCUUGUACAGGAUAGGUAGGAGCCUUUGAAACGUGAGCGCUAGCUUACGUGGAGGCGCUGGUGGGAUACUACCCUAGCUGUGUUGGCUUUCUAACCCGCACCACUUAUCGUGGUGGGAGACAGUGUCAGGCGGGCAGUUUGACUGGGGCGGUCGCCUCCUAAAAGGUAACGGAGGCGCUCAAAGGUUCCCUCAGAAUGGUUGGAAAUCAUUCAUAGAGUGUAAAGGCAUAAGGGAGCUUGACUGCGAGACCUACAAGUCGAGCAGGGUCGAAAGACGGACUUAGUGAUCCGGUGGUUCCGCAUGGAAGGGCCAUCGCUCAACGGAUAAAAGCUACCCCGGGGAUAACAGGCUUAUCUCCCCCAAGAGUUCACAUCGACGGGGAGGUUUGGCACCUCGAUGUCGGCUCAUCGCAUCCUGGGGCUGUAGUCGGUCCCAAGGGUUGGGCUGUUCGCCCAUUAAAGCGGUACGCGAGCUGGGUUCAGAACGUCGUGAGACAGUUCGGUCCCUAUCCGUCGUGGGCGUAGGAAAUUUGAGAGGAGCUGUCCUUAGUACGAGAGGACCGGGAUGGACAUACCUCUGGUGUACCAGUUGUCGUGCCAACGGCAUAGCUGGGUAGCUAUGUGUGGACGGGAUAAGUGCUGAAAGCAUCUAAGCAUGAAGCCCCCCUCAAGAUGAGAUUUCCCAACUUCGGUUAUAAGAUCCCUCAAAGAUGAUGAGGUUAAUAGGUUCGAGGUGGAAGCAUGGUGACAUGUGGAGCUGACGAAUACUAA